AUUGAACGCUGGCGGCAUGCUUUACACAUGCAAGUCGGACGGCAGCACAGAGAAGCUUGCUUCUUGGGUGGCGAGUGGCGAACGGGUGAGUAAUAUAUCGGAACGUACCGAGUAAUGGGGGAUAACUAAUCGAAAGAUUAGCUAAUACCGCAUAUUCUCUGAGGAGGAAAGCAGGGGACCUACGGGCCUUGCGUUAUUCGAGCGGCCGAUAUCUGAUUAGCUAGUUGGUGGGGUAAAGGCCUACCAAGGCGACGAUCAGUAGCGGGUCUGAGAGGAUGAUCCGCCACACUGGGGCUGGGACACGGCCCAGACUCCUGCGGGAGGCAGCAGUGGGGAAUUUUGGACAAUGGGCGCAAGCCUGAUCCAGCCAUGCCGCGUGUCUGAAGAAGGCCUUCGGGUUGUAAAGGACUUUUGUCAGGGAAGAAAAGGCUGUUGCUAAUACCGACAGCUGAUGACGGUACCUGAAGAAUAAGCACCGGCUAACUACGUG
rnacentral:rRNA from 1 species